rnacentral:rRNA from 1 species
UACGUAGGGUGCAAGCGUUAAUCGGAAUUACUGGGCGUAAAGCGUGCGCAGGCGGUUAUGUAAGUCAGUUGUGAAAUCCCCGGGCUCAACCUGGGAACUGCAUCUGUGACUGCAUCGCUGGAGUGCGGCAGAGGGGGAUGGAAUUCCGCGUGUAGCAGUGAAAUGCGUAGAUAUGCGGAGGAACACCGAUGGCGAAGGCAAUCCCCUGGGCCUGCACUGACGCUCAUGCACGAAAGCGUGGGGAGCAAACAGG